GACCACACCUACAAUUUAGAAGUGCUCUGAUUAUAGCUCAACUACAGCUAGUUGGGGACAAUUUCCCCUUCGUUUGGUGGUGGCACGACCGUUGUUCAGCCUAGGCGACGUACAACUGUAUACCCAUUUGACUGUCGUUUUUUUGUAUAUAUAUUCGAGAGAGCCACAACUGUAUAUUUUGUAUAGAUUCAUCCGAAUAAAUUAAUCAAAUCUAGUCA
rnacentral:lncRNA from 1 species